CUAUUAUUGUUAUUGGCGUGGUGAUCGGAGAGGAGAAACAACACUGCCGUUAAGGAUAUUGAUUAGAGACAAGAUCGUGCAGACUGUUCGUCAAAACAUGACUACAAGAAUCACCAUUCUUCUCAUUGUGAUGACUGUCACUAUAGUGACUGCAAACAACCUACCCCACCAAUGUAUGGCGCUGUGUUCCCGGUGUGCCAGGACUUCGCAAGAUUCUCACUUUAAUGGACGACGCUGCCUUACCGUGUGUGAAAAUUCACCCAAAGCUGUACCAUUAGCAACGUACAGAUGGCAAGAUUACUGUGAAGAGAUAAUGCGAAAAAAUGGCUGAUCUCAGAAACCACAGAAAAUGGGCAGUACACCUGCAGAAUACCUCUGAAUUACCUUACCCAUCCUUUAUCAUCGAUAAAAACUUAAAGGGACAGAUAUAGUAUGCCAUUUACACAAUAGUACAUUUACAUAGAGUUGUCUGAUUGCAACAUUCUUCCAGAUAUGUGUGUAUUGAUAAAUUCACGGAGCUAGGAUAUCUUCGACUGCUUGUCAAAACGUGAUAGCAAACAUAGGCUAAUCACAAUGGGAAUCAUAAAUUAAAGUAGCUAUUUAUAGGUCAGGGUUUACAACAAGCGAAGUUCUAUUACAGUGGCUGUACUUUGAAAUAGUUUAAUAAACAAUUGUUCCAAUAUGUCUUAA